GAUAAUAGUGUAUUCCAUACAAAAUGCGUUUUUUAAUCCUUCUUGUGUUAUUAUCGAACACAUCAUUCUCCCUUUGUAUGGUAGGAAAGAGUGGUAAUCCCCGAGUCCUCGAAAAGCACGAGACAACUCAAAAACAGAAGCCUUUUUUGUCAUCAUGGAGGCACAAAAUUCGAGCAGGACUUCAAGAUGAAGAAAACCGUAUUUCUCAUGUGGCCAUGUAUCACACUAGCCCUGGGUAUUACUACCGUUACGGUACUCAAGCUAAAAUAGGUAUAUGGGGCUCACCAAAUCAGAGGCACCUUCAAGAGUCUGGAACAUCCAUACUAAUUACCAGCGAUCAACUCCUAAACUUCAG